ACACGUAUGAAAGACACGCUGAAAGACUUUUCUCAAUGAUGUAAGUGGUGGUGCAUGGUCGUUCUUAGUUCGUGGAUUGAUUUGUCUGGUCUAUUCCGAUAACGAGCGAGACCCCUCCGUUCCUAAUAGGGGCGGUAGCCCGGCUUGCCUGCUCACGCGGGCUCGCUAGCUGCCGCUUAAGAUGUACUUCUUAGACGUAUCAGAGCCGAUAAGGUUCUUGAAAUGGGUUAAUAACAGGUCAGUCAUGCCCUUAGAUGUUCUGGGCCGCACGCGCGUUACAAUGGCAUGCAAACACAGUGCCUAUAGGGCAUUUCCGGGGUCUUCGGGCCCCGGUAAUCCCUAGUCCCUGCCUUGACUGGGACAGACUAUUGCAAUUAUUGGUCUCAAACGAGGAAUUUUUAGUAGUCGUAGGUCAUUAACCUGCGACGA
rnacentral:rRNA from 1 species